AGUGAGCAAGCUGGAGCCCCAGAGGAGCCAAUGAUGUAAUUCUGGUCCAAAAGCCAGCAGGCUCAAGAUCCAGGAGGAGGCAAUUUUUCAGCUCAAGUCUGCAGGUCUUCAAAAUACAGAGCUAAGAGUGCCUUCCCGGAGGCAGAAGGACUUGCCAGGGUUUUGAUUGUCACAAGCCCAUGAAAUGACCUUGAUGGCGAGAUGGACCCUCAAUGUCCAGCUUCUUUUGCUCUGUCCAGCCUGCCACAGCUCGUCGUGGAACAUGCACAGAAACCAUUACAUCCCCAGCUCUCACAGACUGCUGGCGAUGACUUCUUCAGACUAGUUACUUAAUGAACGUCAUCCAAUUCUGAUUCAGCCUUGCCAUACUCUCAUUUGCGCAAGCCAAUCUGCUUUAUGAUUCUAACCUCUGGCUAGAAACUGCUCCCAAUUUCAUGUCAUCCAUAAACUUGAUGAACGAGUAGCUUGCUCCUCUGCAGUCAUUCAUUUAUUUAUCCAGCCAACAUUUAGUGAGCACCUACUGGAUGCUGGGCACUGGAUAAAGAGUUAAAGGAGAUACUGGUCCUGUCCUUGAAGGACCCAUUCAGUGUGAUCCUGCUCAACUCAGGCAGGGGACAGAGAGCUGGCCCAUCAGGGGAAGGGCAGUUUAAGGUGAUCUUGGGGUGCUGGAAGGAAAUUUGCCAACUUGAGAAGAAAUGGUGUUGCUGGUAGACCAGAGUGUGUAUAGGCAGCUUGUUCUGGGUGGUGAUGGGGAAGGAAAUGAAUUGAUAUCUAUAAAUGCGAGGGGUAACGAGCUUCAGGCUGAGAUCCAGCCUCCCUCUUGGAUCUGCCCAUUUCUGCUUCAUCCUGAUGUUCCAUGUGUGGCAAAUGGCUACCAUCAGGCUCAAACCCAGGCAAAAGAAAUCCACUCUUCUCUCAACAAAAGAGCAAAUCUCCUGGGGUGUCAUUGUCCUUAUUGGGGCACAUGCUCUUCCCUGAUCAAUCAGGGUGGCGGAGGGAAUACAGGCACUCUCAUUGGCCAGCCCUGAGUCACAUGGUAGCUGUGGUCCCUGGAGUGUUGAGCAAGUCUAUCUGUGGGUUGAACAAGUCUAUCUGGGGUGGAGUCUCACUCCAUUGGGGCUGGAAGGCGAGUAGGGAUUCCAGAGCAACGCUGAGUUCCAUUAGCACCAAAAUGUCUGAAUGGGUGCUGGGCUGUGGGAACACAGAUGGCUACUAUGUGGCCACAAGUGGGCUGUGGCAUUCUGUCUCCUCAGGUGGCGGAAGGGGGCUCAUGUGGGUCCUCUCUGUCUGGUGGGUAAAGGGAAGUUCUCACCACCUCUGAGAUGAGGUAGGGCACCUGAGGCCUCCUGCUACCAUGUUCUGUUUACUGGCCAGUUCAACAUGUAUAGGCAUGUCUUGGAGGUAUGGGGGGUUUGGUUCCAGAUACUGCAAUAAAGAGAAUAUAGAAAUAAAA